rfam:Oesophagostomum dentatum strain OD-Hann O_dentatum-1.0_Cont33421.1, whole genome shotgun sequence.
AUCGCUUCUCGGCAUUUGGCUAAGAUCAAAGUUUAGUUUCUGUUCUUAUCGAAUUAACCUUUGAUAGAGUCUCGUUAAGGUUAUUUGAUUUUUGUGAGCGGACGAGGGUCGCGGGUCGGCCCAGCGUUACAUUGUUGCUGGGAUCGGCCCACCUCCA